GCUAAAUUUGCCUCAAUUGUUUGUCUCUUGCCUUCAGCUUCCCUCAAGUUAGCUUCCGCUAUUUCAAGAGUU
rnacentral:tRNA from 1 species